UACGAAGGGGGCUAGCGUUGCUCGGAAUCACUGGGCGUAAAGCGCACGUAGGCGGCUUUUUAAGUCAGUGGUGAAAUCCUGGAGCUCAACUCCAGAACUGCCUUUGAUACUGAGAAGCUUGAGUUCGGGAGAGGUGAGUGGAACUGCGAGUGUAGAGGUGAAAUUCGUAGAUAUUCGCAAGAACACCAGUGGCGAAGGCGGCUCACUGGCCCGAUACUGACGCUGAGGUGCGAAAGCGUGGGGAGCAAACAGG
rnacentral:rRNA from 1 species